GGAUCUCGGCGUCGCCUCACGCAGAUCACAACAAAGAAAAUGUGUCGAACGGACCAGCUGGUUCUCAGCUCCUACACAGGAGAGAUGAAGACCAUCAACCUGCUGCACAAUACCAAGCAGCGCCUUCCAUACGUGACUGUGGGUAGGCUGAAGCAGGAAGCAGUGAAGCAGUUUCCAAAAUUGUCAGGAUACAGCGCGGGUGAUGUGAAGCUGAUCUAUAUUGAUAAGCAACUGGAUAACGACAGUGCCACUCUGUCCGAAUAUAAAGUCAAGCCCCUCUCGACCAUCCAGAUGGUGACGAAGGUUGAUGGAGGUUGAUGGAGAGGUUGAGCCCUCAAAGCAUAAGGAUCAUCAAGCAUAAUCAUCAUCAUCAUCAUCAUCAUCAUCAUCAUCAUCAUCACCGUGAUCAUCAUCAUCAUCAUCAUCAUUAUUAUCAUCAUCAUGCAUCUAUAUCAGCAAGCCUCACAUUUGGAUGAAUGAUGCAAAAAACACAAAGUGGACAAGACAUGUUAUUUUACACAGAGACACGAUUAAAUCAUAUAGUCUAUUUUUAUAUGUAUAUACGUCACCGUUUCAAAUUUGCAUUUUUUGGCACUUCCAUUAAAUUGUGUUUUUGUAGAGUUUACACACACACAAUUCAAGACCAAAAGUGUGAUUUAAGAAGGAUUGCAGGUUCUAAAUGUAUAUGGAAGUCAAACAGAAACCCUUUCAAUAAUAAUGUUUUCAUCAUUGGAUUUUUUUAUUUUUUUUUAUUUUAUUGACUAACUGUUUUAAUAAACAGUAAUAUUUGGCAUUAUAAUUUGUGAUACAACAAUGUGUGAAUAAUUAUCAUUACCCUGAACCUAUAAAGUCCUUUUGUAUUAUAAAGUUGCGCUGUUAGUAGUGCAGUGUGGAAUUAAUGUAUAAGUGUGCAUAAAGGGCUCAUCUGCUCUCCCAGAAGGAAGCACUGUGAACAUCUGUGAGCAAUUUGCUUUUUUGAAUAAACUCUUCUCACUUAA